rnacentral:misc_RNA from 1 species
CCAAUAGCGUAUAUUAAAGUUGUUGCAGUUAAAAAGCUCGUAGUUGAAUUUCGGGGUUAGUAGGCUGGUCGUGCCACUGGUAUGUACUGGUCUUACUGACUUCUCCUUUCUGAAGAACUGUAAUGCCAUUAAUUUGGUGUUGCAGGGAAUCAGGACUGUUACUUUGAAAAAAUUAGAGUGUUUAAAGCAGGCUUACGCUUGAAUACAUUAGCAUGGAAUAAUGAAAUAGGACGUUCGAUCCUAUUUUGUUGGUUUCUAGGAUUGACGUAAUGAUUAAUAGGGAUAGUUGGGGGCAUUAGUAUUCAAUUGUCAGAGGUGAAAUUCUUGGAUUUAUUGAAGACUAACUACUGCGAAAGCAUUUGCCAAGGAUGUUUUCAUUAAUCAAGAACGAAAGUUAGAGGUUCGAAGGCGAUCAGAUACCGCCCUAGUUCUAACCAUAAACGAUGCCGACCGGCGAUCCGCCGUCGUUAAUUGAAUGACUCGGCGGGCAGCCUCCG